rnacentral:rRNA from 1 species
CAAUAGCGUAUAUUAAAGUUGUUGCGGUUAAAAAGCUCGUAGUUGGAUUUCUGCUGAGAACGACCGGUCCGCCCUUUGGGUGUGUAUCUGGCUCUUUCUUGGCAUCUUCUUGGUGAACGUUGCUGCACUUGACUGUGUGGAGCGCUACCCAGGACUUUUACUUUGAGGAAAUUAGAGUGUUUCAAGCAGGCAUACGCCUUGAAUACAUUAGCAUGGAAUAAUAAGAUAGGACCUCGGUUCUAUUUUGUUGGUUUCUAGAGCUGAGGUAAUGAUUACUAGGGAUAGUUGGGGGCAUUCGUAUUUAACUGUCAGAGGUGAAAUUCUUGGAUUUGUUAAAGACGGACUACUGCGAANGNAUUUGCNAAGGAUGUUUNCAUUG